UACGGAGGGUGCAAACGUUGCUCGGAAUCAUUGGGCGUAAAGCGCACGUAGGCGGCCCGUUAAGUCGGGUGUGAAAUCCCCCCGGCUCAACUGGGGAACUGCACAGGAAACUAGCGGGCUUGAGUUCGGGAGAGGGAAGCGGAAUUCCGGGUGUAGCGGUGAAAUGCGUAGAUAUCCGGAGGAACACCGAUGGCGAAGGCAGGUCUCUGGGCCACUACUGACGCUGAGAAGCGAAAGCAUGGGGAGCGAACAGG
rnacentral:rRNA from 1 species